UAGUCCACGCCGUAAACGAUGAGUGCUAGACGUUGCGGGUAUUGACCCCUGCAGUGUCGAAGCUAACGCGAUAAGCACUCCGCCUGGGGAGUACGGGCGCAAGCUUAAAACUCAAAGGAAUUGACGGGGGCCCGCACAAGCGGUGGAUUAUGUAGUUUAAUUCGAAGCAACGCGCAAAACCUUACCUGGGCCUUGUAACUCCUGAGAAAGCGGGGUAAUGCCUGCUGUGUCCUUCGGGAAACUCAGUGAGAGGUGCUGCAUGGCUGUCGUCAGCUCGUGUUGUGAAAUGUUGGGUUAAGUCUCGCAACGAGCGCAACCCCUAUCUUUAGUUGCCAGCAUUUAGUUGGGCACUCUAGAGAGACUGCCUGGGUUAACCAGGAGGAAGGUGGGGAUGACGUCAAGUCCUCAUGGCCCUUAUGUCCAGGGCUUCACACGUGCUACAAUGGAUGGUACAAAGAGCAGCCACUCAGACGAUGAGGAGCGAAUCUCAAAAAACCNUUCUCA
rnacentral:rRNA from 1 species